UCAGGCAAUAGUGUAGCUCUCUUGUAGCUGCUAUGACUACUUUGUUCCUGAACUUCUGGUGUUGCCCAUUAGCUUGAUUUGGACCUUGCCUCCUGACUUGGAUUCUGACCCUUGAUAUCCACCCUGGCUUGGAACCUGCCUAUGACCUUCUCUACUACUCCUAGCCUCAGUCUUUGAGUGAAUUCAGGGCACGUGGAAGAUGCCAGAUGGACAGCUGGGAAUGUUAAAGGGCUGCAGGGUCCUGCUGCCAUUUACAAGCCCCCGACCAAGUGACCUGCUGUUCUGCAGCCAGCUGAUCAAAGCCAGCACAGCUGUGGUUUUGACCUCUGCCAGCAGAGGGGACAACUGCCACAUCCCUUUCACAUGGAUGUACCCUCCCCUUUUUAUCUUGGCCUCAUGACAUCAUCUGACCCUUCCUGCACUCAGACUUCAGCUUGCAACAAGACAGACUAUUGCAUAACUCUUCAUUGGACAGAGAGGAGGAAUGGGCACACCAUGGGUGCUGGGAAGCAUAGAUUCUUUUGCCCUUUUGUUUUAUUGCAGCACACCUAGCUAGCAUAGGGUCUGGGUUUUACUUCUUUGCUCAUUCAGCUAUACCUCUUGGGCAAAUUGGCUUGAUUGCUCCCCAAGAAGGCAAGUAGUACCCCAAAGACCGCACUCAUUUACCUAUCAUUUCCAGUGUUAGUUAGGAAUCAAGGCCCAGGCCACGAGCCAAGCUUGAACCCAGAUCCUACUCUACCAAAGCACAGACCUUUACCAACCAAAGUCUUGGCCUGUAGCAUCUCUCUCAGAGGUAGGAAGGUAAGAGCCCACUUUGUCUCCCAGAUCCCUGGGCUAGUUGGUGUAAUCAAAGGGAUAUGAACCCAAGAAAGCUUCAACACUAAAGUGCAGACCUCUUGGCCACUUGAGCUGAAGGACUAACCCCAUCAGCUAGCAGCAGUAGCAGCCAGUUAUCCUCUGAACUAGCUAUGGAGGUGGGAUGUGUAACAUGCUUCAUAAGCAAGUUACACUUUUUCUUAACUCCCCAAAUAAACUGUGCCUUGUCCCCUUGGAAUACAAACAGGAAGCAUAUUCCUGGGAUAAAGAGGAGUAUUAACCACUACAGGAGAUGUUACAGAACAGAUCUGGAAGCAGGGAGGACUCAGUCUAGGACCUGUGGUGCACAAAGUGUGUUGCUUCAUCCCCCCCUAAGAUUGACUUAGAUGGCUCUCUGUAUAUCAAGCAUGGAAAAUCCUUACCCCUGCAGACUCAGUUCAACUUUGUGUAACCCGUUCCUUAACACAGUGAGCGUCUUUGUCCCCCUCGAGAGGCUCUUCCACAGAGGUUCUUGACUUGGCUAAUGUAUGCAGCAAAUGGGGUUAGAGCCACAUCCCCAGAGGUUCUUGGGUGCUGGAGUCCCAUUGAUUUCAGAGGGAGUUAGGCACCUAAAUAUCUCUUGAGCAUCUGAGCUUUAGCUUACACAACAAUGACUCAUGCUUUUAGAUCAAGACAUCCUGUGGUCAAGCCCCACCUAGCAGACCAUCCCGCUUAUCUAAACCCUCCAGUCUCAGCUUCCCUCCUAAGCUCUGUUCUUCAAUAGGACCCACUUGUGUGCUUAGUUAAGCCCAGGUUGCAUGUUUUGCUGGAUUGGGGCCAUAGAGAGAGGCAGGGUCUUGUUGCAGAAGAUGCUGCUUUCAAAGAUAUCCUCAGUGAUAACGAGAGUGGGGGCAGGGGAGAGAAGCCAACAGUCUCUCAAUGGAAUGUUGCCCCAUCUUCUUGGUGCAACUCCAGUGGGGUCAGCAACAUUGUGUCUGUCUUAGCUCUGAAUUCCUUCACUCUGCUGCUCCAAAUGUAACUGUCAUGUGCAAGACCAUCAAUCUUCCAAAUUAAAGAACAAGGAGAGGAAUUUCUGCAGCUGCCAAAAGGCUGAAUGCAGAGAAGUUGAGCACCAGCCUUUGUGCUCCCUUGGCAGGAGUAGGUGAAAAUGACAGGUGGGAAUUUUUUCCUGGCCAAAAAAUAAAUAAAUAAAAAUUAAAUUAAAAGUGAAAUCUUCCCAGAAUUACAAAAUCAGGCUCUGCUGGGCAAUCUGGAUUCCUUUAAGGGUUGUCAACACCAGAAGGUACAUUUGGUUUAGUUAAAUUACUCUAGUUUAAAUUGAUGUCAAAUUGCAUUAGUACAAUUGGCGCAACUUCCUGUGUGAACCCCGUUUAUGGUAACUUUUUUUUCUAAACUGAAAUAAGCCUCGUUUGAGUCAAAAUAAGAUUGACUGUCUACACAGCCUUUUGCACCAACUUAAUGAAAUUGGUUUCAAAUCAUACUUUGUAAAACUGGUGCAACCCUGUGUAUAGACAAGUGCUUAACUUGUCAGGGCUUGUACAUUUCAGUACUACUUCAGGGCCCAUGAGUAGUUUGCAUGAGUGACACUAUGACCCCAUGUGCCAGGUUGCAAGGCCACACCCUCAAAUUUGGAGGGGGUUGGUGUAGGGGCUUAUGUGGGUCAGGCUGCUAGUGAGGGCCUGCCUAAGAGGCAAAGAGGAAGAUCAGUUAUGGGAGGGGUGGGGGUGGCAAAUUUGUCUUCCUCCCCCCUGGGCACACAUUAAAUGGCAUUCUGCAGGUUGGGGUGUCAGUUUGGGUAACAACCCCCCCAGUCGUCAUAGAAGUCCUACUAUUCAACCCCCCAGCAUUAAUGCACAGACCUCAGCCACUUGAGCUAAUGGAGCACUGCUAAUGCUAACGGUAGCCUGUUACCCUGUAUGUGGACCAGUCACUAAAGGGGGGUGCGCACACACUUUAAAAGUGCCUUACGUUUGUAGGGCUAGCAGCUAAAAGAAAAAUAUCUGUAACGUGAGCAGAUUGGAGUGGGAGUCAUUAGGAUUCCAAGCACAUAGCCCAAAGGGCAAUCUUGCAGAGUUACCUUUCAUGGUAAGAAUUGUACUUUAAAGUGACAUGAAGACAGGUGGAAAUAAAAUAGGCUUGACAUAAAUGUUGCAUGAAUGAAUAGAGCUGUCUUGCAUCGAGCCCUGAGAAACUCAGCAGAUACAGUUUGCUAGGGAUCCUGCAAAGGCGUUCUUCCAGUUUUGUUUGUGUGAAGUUCUCAGUUCCUGGGUUUUGCCAAAAAAAAAAAAAAAUCACUGUUUACAUGAGACUUGCAAUUACAUUCAUACCUAGUUGUAAGGCUCCUUUGCACUGCCAGAGUGGUGUAAAAAGAGUCCGGUGUGAAUGAAACCAAGUUUUUGCCUAGUUUUUGGAUCGGCCUUCCCCCGCCUCAACCCAAGUUACAUAUUGGCUUCUACUAAAUUGAAUCAUCAGCUUUCUAGGUGGCAGCAUGGUCCAGUGAAUUGGCUUCUACUAUAGUUUCUGAGACCUAGUUCUAUUCCUAGCUCUGCUACUAAUGCGCUCUUGCAGCGGUUACUUUUAUCUCUGUAGUUUUUGUUUCACCUCCCAUGGCCUAUUUAAAUUGUAAGCUCUUUGACGUAAGGUUGGGGGGUUUGUUCACUAAGUUUAGCAGCACCUAGCACAUUGGACCUCAGUUAUGCACCUGUAGGUGCUACUGCAGUGUAAACAAUAAGAGGAAGACCAAAAGAGCUGACCUGGACUGAACUUAGAGGAAAGCUAUUCUAGCAACUCCAAUCUAGAUGCUUUGCGUCAGAUUCUGAUCUGUUACACCAGUGGAGCGGCGGAAUAAUUUUAUUCAAGUCAGUAGUUACACAAGUGUGACCGAAAUUGGGACUUGUGCCUUUAAUUAAAGGAUUGUGUGCAGCCACAGACUCCAGCAUGCUAAGCUCUCUUUGCUAGCCUCCAAAUGGAACUAAGUCAGCUGGCCACUUUUGUUGUGUAUUACAAUGCUAUAGCUGUAAUCCCUUGGGACUUGGCAAUAAAAAUAGACAAUAAAUCAGUGGUUCCAUCACCCAACUCCAGGUUGUCUGUGUAGUCUCCCACUUCUGCUUUACUCAGUCAAGUCAUUUGGCCUCCCAAAGGAGCCAUAUGGGCUGUAUGAGAAUGUCUCAGGCGCAAGGACUGUAACCCUUACUCCAUCCAGGACUUCAGUUCCAAACCUCUGUCCUCGCAAAUGGCAAAGGAAAACAAUUCUUAUUGGGGGUGGAAAGAGAUUAGAGCACUCCUAA